rnacentral:misc_RNA from 1 species
GCAAGAGUUACUUCAGCAGAAAGGCUGUGUCAUUUGGAUUACCGGUCUCAGUGGUUCAGGGAAAAGCACUUUGGCAUGUGCUCUGAGUCGAUGCUUGCACUCAAGAGGAAAGUUGACCUAUAUCCUUGAUGGUGACAAUGUCCGACACGGUCUAAACCGUGACCUAGGUUUUAAAGCAGAAGAUCGGGCAGAAAACAUUCGGAGGAUC